rnacentral:lncRNA from 1 species
CGCUCGUCGUCGCUGGUAAAAGGGAUGGCGGCGGCGGCGGCGGCGGCGGCGGCGACAGCGACGGUGGUGGCAUCGCCAUUGCCGCAGACGUCACCGUGAUCAGAGGAGGCUUGAACGCUUGGCUUGUUCGUAUUCUCUUGCCCAUCACUCGAUUGUUGUCUCGUCGUCGGUGCUCGAUUCGUCCGCCGGUGCCCGCCGUGCGUCGGGCUGGCGUUCGCCAGCGUCGUAGCUGCAACGCCAGCGGCGGGAGCAAUAAGCAACGUUGUUCGCAGCACAAGAACGUUGUUGUUGUUAGUAUUGAUGGUGGUGUCUCGCUGUAGCUGUCGAUGUGAUGCGACGUCACCAUCAGACGACGAUGCGAUACGCCGAUUUAGCUAAGCGGAGUUCAGCAGAAGCAGCAGCAGCAGCAGCAACUGUUGCGUCCUACGUACGUGUAGCGCGGCACUGCGAUGCCAGCAGUGGAACGAAUAAACGCGCGUAGACGCCGGCGUUUGCCUACUAGUAAUAGUAGUACUAGGGGUAGUGGCAUCAGCGUCAGCACUACGGUACAGCUAACGCAUACAGUUCGUCAGUCGGUCGGUCGGCGCUGUCAGCACCGCUGUGAGAGCAGCGCCUGCCAGUCAGCGUUUCGUGCGAAUUCAGGUGGUUGCUAAAAUCACUAAAUUAUUGUGCGUCGAAAAGUGUCGUGGACAGGAUGGAAUAUAUGCACGCCGAGGAAUCUGAAUUCCCGUUUUUAGCUGUCUAAUAUGCCACUAAAAAGAGCUGAAAUUGGGUGAUCUACACCAAAAUCCGUAUCCAAAUUUACUAAGCUGUUAAAUUUACUUCUACUUGAGGCCAAACAUCUUUAUUGGAAAUAAAGCACACAUAUUAAAGGUAUUCUUGUUGCCUGAUACCAUGAUCUUGCUGCAAUUGCAUCAGUACUUCGCUGCUCAGUUAGUUCUCUGUCCUGCUUUGUUGAAGCUAUCAAAAAUACCUCGUGCUUGUUUCUGCUAUUCAAUCACCCUGCUAGAUAGUAGUUUAUCGAGUUUUAACGAUAUCGCAACACACAGCCGUUGUCAUUGUCUUCUACGAAUUACCACAAUCUACCCACACAUUCCAAUCUACCCACCCGUUUACUACGAAUACUUUUCCGUAGCUGGCUUCAGCUGCAGGACUAAACAUUGAAGACAUGAAAAAAACUUUACAUUUGUUUGGUGAAGUCUCAAGUGUCCAAAAACAUUUUUUCCGUGGUUCCUUUAACGUUAAUAGGUAUGUUUUGAACUUAUAUUCCAUAUUCAGAAUAGGAACUGAUUUCGAAAACGUCAAGUUCCUCAUAGUAUAUCUUAGCCAACACGUAAUAGUGCAGUAGCGACGCGUCUGCUGACAAUCGUUAACGACACGUGAUAGCUGAAGUUCGAAAUCCGAGGGUAGGCAAUUUUCGUAUUGUGUUAGUAGAAGGGUAGGCAGCUCUCCAAAGCGACGCCCAGUGGCUCAUAUGCGGGACGUAAAAAUUCGAAACAUUCAAGAUGAACCUAAAUAUAAAUACGACUACGGCCGUUCCCGAAGUAGUCGACAUUUGUACUUCUAUUCUUUCCAGAAAAGACAAUUGCUACUAUAAUUAGUAUUCUUAGUUAUUAAUAUUACCGGCCUUCUUAAUGACUCUGAUUCACAUAUCAGAAGCGUUCUAUCGGACCUGUCUGUAUCAACCCAGCCUCAACUUUGAACAAAAGCGGUAUGCGUGUGGCUGUGGCUAGUUGCUAACCCAGUUGUCAAUGGUAAACUGCUGGGAAAGGACUGCCACUUAGUCAGCUUAUGCAAGCACUAUUACGCUCAAUUGGUUUUCACCGAAGUCGCUGUCAUCAACAAUUCAGCGGCGAUCUCCAUGUUGGAUCAGCUGGUUUAGAAUUAGUUCCACCACACAAAAGACUAAACAAGACUCUCGUUAUUUGCCACGCUUUCUAUCUAACAUGUACACACUAGAGGCCCCAUAUUCACGUACUUCUGUUUGGAAAAGCGAAAAUAAAGCUUCACAUAUUCAGGCCAGCCAGCGUUGGGUCGGUGGAGUUGAUAGACGCUUGUCCAGCAAGCACAACUUCGGCAAACGUGUGCACUAACGGAUUUAAACACAGUGUCAUGAGAGAAUUUAGUUUCCUACGGACUUAGACAGAACCUGUGCGUAAUGUGGAUGUUGUAUGCGCGUACAGAUUUGGUAGUUCGGAUCUUACUUUAAAGAGAUUUUGCAUAUCUCGAUGAUGGACAAUGUUGCACAUGCGAAUGUGCCUCGCUCACUUUGAAGUACGCCCCCGAUUAGGUGACAUAUAGGAGAACGGUCAUUAAAGAAGCAGAUCUUUUGGCAGUAUACAGAUUUUGUCACUGUACAGCUUCUUAUUGAUACGUAUAGCUGUUCAUAUGCGAGGCCUCCGUAUUCGAUAGUAACUUUAAAAAGCAAUUCAUUAAUUUUUCCUAAUCCGUCGACCUAGUACUAGGACAUUCUACGCUUCGAAAUUACGGUCGUCACGGUUGACCUAGAGGAAGAGGAGCUGUUUCCUUCCAGCUCGAAAUCGAACUUUAUUUGCAAUCCGUUCUAGGAAAGUCAACCGGAUAAGUUCCUUGUUCGAAGUAACUCAAUUACCGUGAUCCUUUUUCGAGACAAACACUUAAUUCGACUAUAACAAACAAUUUUCUUGAAGAAUGGAUUGUACAUAUUUGUCCUAGUGCGAACAACGCCUGAAUUCAUGUUUGUACCGCGCAGUGGUACGAGCAGAAAAGGUCACGACCAGUAGCUACUCCAAUGACAGUGACAGCGUUAUAAUGUUGUGAUUGAUGCUUUCCGCAUUAUUCUAAUUAGUGAGCCUACCUAUUUGCCAGAAAAGACUAUAGUGCUAUGUAGCUCAGCCGUAGCCUCGUUUGUCAUCUAAUGAUUCGUCCAAGAUAGCUAUAAUAGAAACAAUUUGUUGAUACCACCUGCUACAGAGGCCGGUCUCCUAAAUAGAAGCUGUUAAAGAAGCACCCCGAUUAUAAUUAAGUGUUAACUUAUGACCGUGAGCGUCUCAGCUUUAUCUGCAAUCCGGUCUAGGUGCAAUCACAAUGGCGCGAAAGAUCAGAUACGAUGGGCCACAAAAUAAGCCAACAUUCUACAUCGCGUAAUAAGGUUAUCUAUUAUCACGCUCUUGUCAGGGUCAUAGCUUACAUUUUCAGUGGGGUUAUUUUCAUUGCUACUACUGCUGAUUAAGUCUAUCUGGGUUGAAGUAAAACUAACAAAUGUAAUACAUUUCUAUUCGUGACUUAGUAGUAGGUGGAAAAUAAGAAAGUCUAUCAGAAAAUGGUUUGAGUUUUGCAGUACGACUCAUGCGUGUACAA